CAUCGCGCAGCGCGGCUCACUGGUCGCGCCGGAACGGCUGCGGUUCGACUUCGCGCACAACAAGCCGAUCACGGCGGACGAACUGCGCCGCAUCGAGGAUAUUGCCAACGAUGUCGUGCUGGAGAACGGCGAGGUCGUCACCCGCUCGAUGGCGGUGGACGAUGCGCGGGAUUCCGGCGCGCGGGCGCUGUUCGGGGAGAAAUACGGCGACGAAGUGCGCGUGGUGUCGAUGGGCGCGGGCAAGGGCAAUGCGCUCGGCUGGUCGGUCGAACUGUGCGGCGGCACCCAUGUGCGGCGUACCGGCGACAUUGGCCUGAUCUCCAUCAGCGGCGAAAGCGCGGUGGCUUCGGGCGUGCGGCGUAUCGAGGCGCUGACCGGAAACAAUGCGCGUCACGCCGUGAAUGCAACCAUUCACACCGCGA
rnacentral:misc_RNA from 1 species